GGUUGGAUGGAUAGAAGAAUGGGUGGAUAGAUGGGUGGUUGGAUGGAUGGGUGGAUGGGUGGGCGGAUGAGUGGAUGUGAUAUAAUUCUUGUAAUAGAACAGCUUAUAUUUUAGCAGGUAAACUAGAUUUGCAAUAAAUGAAGUUCAGUAAAAUCUGUCAUGGUUUUACUAGUGGUCAAAAUCUCUCAUUUCAUAGGAUUCUAGAGGAGGGAGCCAGGGAAAUCUUCCCAGAGGUCGCCACAUGAGAGCUCAGUAGUGAGAGCUGAGGCGGUGCCAUCAGCGCUUGGCUUCCAGUGCUCCAUCCCAUUGCUACCUGCUUAUAUAUGUGCGUCUUCCCCCGGCACUUGGCUUAUACUCUCUUGUGUCUUCUCUCUCAUUUUUCAUGUCCAAUCUGUCCUCUCUGGAACGUGCUAGGCUUCUUACGAGGAAAGGCAAGAGGACUUUGAGAGUGAACUUCCCUAACUGGGAGGUGACUGAGUGUGUGUGUCUCACACCUCUGGAUUGGGCCAGGCUCACUCCCAGGAUGUGGCCCAACUGUUAGGAAAAUGUCUCAAGUUCCUCAUUUUAAAAAUCCUGAAACAAAGAGGUAGGUUGAAAGUAAAAGAAUACUGAUGUCA